CAAGUCGAGCGAGAAAAGGGGGGCAACUCCCUGAGUACAGCGGCGCACGGGUGAGUAACACGUGGGUAAUCUGCCCUGGAGUGGGGAAUAACACCGGGAAACCGGUGCUAAUACCGCAUACGAUCACGAGGUCUGCGGACUUUGUGAUGAAAGGAGCAAUUCGCUCUAGGAGGAGCCCGCGGCUGAUUAGCUAGUUGGUGAGGUAACGGCUCACCAAGGCUACGAUCAGUAUCCGGUCUGAGAGGACGGUCGGACACACUGGAACUGAGACACGGUCCAGACUCCUACGGGAGGCAGCAGUGGGGAAUUUUUGGCAAUGGGGGCAACCCUGACCAAGCAACGCCGCGUGGGUGAUGAAGUCUCUUGGGACGUAAAACCCUUUCGACGGGGACGAAAGCCGCAAGGUUUGACGGUACCCGUAGAAGAAGCCCCGGCUAACUCCGUGCCAGCAGCCGCGGUAAUACGGGGGGGGCAAGCGUUGUUCGGAAUUACUGGGCGUAAAGGGCGCGUAGGCGGUCUGUUAAGUCGGAUGUGAAAACUCUGGGCUCAACCCAGAGCCUGCAUCCGAAACUGGCAGGCUAGAGUUCUGGAGGGGGUAGCGGAAUUCCUGGUGUAGCGGUGAAAUGCGUAGAUAUCAGGAGGAACACCGGUGGCGAAGGCGGCUACCUGGACAGAAACUGACGCUGAGGCGCGAAAGCUAGGGGAGCAAACAGGAUUAGAUACCCUGGUAGUCCUAGCCCUAAACGAUGGAUACUUGGUGUGACGGGGAUUGA
rnacentral:rRNA from 1 species